rnacentral:rRNA from 1 species
GUGGGGAAUAUUGGGCAAUGGGCGAAAGCCUGACCCAGCAACGCCGCGUGAGGGAAGAAGGCCUUCGGGUUGUAAACCUCUGUCCUUGGUGACGAAAAAAAUGACGGUAGCCAAGGAGGAAGCCCCGGCUAACUACGUGCCAGCAGCCGCGGUAAUACGUAGGGGGCGAGCGUUGUCCGGAAUUACUGGGCGUAAAGGGUGCGUAGGUGGCCUUUUAAGUUGGAUGUGAAAUACCCGGGCUUAACUUGGGGGGUGCAUCUAAUACUGGAGGGCUAGAGUGCAGGGGAGGGAAGCGGAAUUCCUAGUGUAGCGGUGAAAUGCGUAGAUAUUAGGAGGAACACCAGUGGCGAAGGCGGCUUUCUGGACUGUAACUGACACUGAGGCACGAAAGCGUGGGGAGCAAACAGGAUUAGAAACCCGUGUAGUCC